rnacentral:tRNA from 3 species
AAACAAGAAGCAAACAUUGCAAUCAGUUUCGACCUGAUCAUUAGAUGUACCCAACCAUCCUUGUUUU